AAGGUUGGAGGUAAAAUAAGAAACAUAAAAUAAUUUUUUCAAAAUUUUUAAAUGCAUCAGAGUAUUUUCAAACCAAUUAAAACAAAGGAAAAAAGAGGAAAUUCAAGAAAAAUAGAAAAUCAAGAAAAUAAAAUAUGGAAAAAUAAAAAUCAUAUGAAGAAAAAUAAAAUAAAAUUUUAUAAAUUAUUUUGGUAUUUUUUUUUUGAUAAAAGAUGAAUUUUCUAUGAUUUAUAAAAAAAGAAAUUUAAAAUAAA
rnacentral:lncRNA from 1 species